GAUGAACGCUAGCGGCAGGCCUAACACAUGCAAGUCGAGGGGUAGCAGGAUUAAGCUUGCUUAAUUGCUGACGACCGGCGCACGGGUGCGUAACGCGUAUGCAACCUACCUUAUACUGGGGUAUAGCCCGGAGAAAUUCGGAUUAAUCCCCCAUAGUACUAAUGGAUCGCAUGGUGUAUUAGUUAAAGCAUUGCGGUAUAAGAUGGGCAUGCGUCCUAUUAGCUAGAUGGUGAGGUAACGGCUCACCAUGGCUACGAUAGGUAGGGGGCCUGAGAGGGUGGUCCCCCACACUGGUACUGAGACACGGACCGGACUCCUACGGGAGGCAGCAGUGAGGAAUAUUGGUCAAUGGGCGCAAGCCUGAACCAGCCAUGCCGCGUGCAGGAAGAAUGCCCUAUGGGUUGUAAACUGCUUUUAUUUGGGAAUAAACCUCUUUACGUGUAGAGAGCUGAAGGUACCAAAUGAAUAAGCACCGGCUAACUCCGUGCCAGCAGCCGCCGUAA
rnacentral:rRNA from 1 species